rnacentral:rRNA from 1 species
UACAGAGGGGGCAAGCGUUAUUCGGAAUUAUUGGGCGUAAAGGGCGCGUAGGCGGCCUGCUAAGUCGAACGUGAAAUCCCCGGGCUCAACCCGGGAACUGCGUCCGAUACUGGCAGGCUUGAAUCCGGGAGAGGGAUGUGGAAUUCCAGGUGUAGCGGUGAAAUGCGUAGAUAUCUGGAGGAACACCGGUGGCGAAGGCGGCAUCCUGGACCGGCAUUGACGCUGAGGCGCGAAAGCCAGGGGAGCAAACGGG